rnacentral:rRNA from 1 species
GACGGAGGAUGCAAUCGUUCUCCGGAAUUAUUGGGCGUAAAGCGUUCGCAGGUGGCUGUUCAAGUCUGCUGUCAAAGACCGGGGCUUAACCCCAGAAAGGCAGUGGAAACUGAACGGCUGGAGUGCAGUAUGGGUAGAGGGAAUUCCCAGUGUAGCGGUGAAAUGCGUAGAGAUUGGGAAGAACACCGGUGGCGAAAGCGCUCUGCUGGACUGCAACUGACACUGAGGGACUAAAGCUAGGGGAGAGAAAGGG